rnacentral:rRNA from 1 species
UACGGAGGAUGCAAGCGUUAUCCGGAAUUACUGGGCGUAAAGCGUGCGCAGGCGGUUAUGCAAGACAGAUGUGAAAUCCCCGGGCUUAACCUGGGAACCGCAUUUGUGACUGCAUAGCUGGAGUACGGCAGAGGGGGAUGGAAUUCCGCGUGUAGCAGUGAAAUGCGUAGAUAUGCGGAGGAACACCGAUGGCGAAGGCAGUCCCCUGGGCCUGUACUGACGCUCAUGCACGAAAGCGUGGGGAGCAAACAGG